rnacentral:rRNA from 1 species
AUAAACUGAACGCAUGUGAAGUUUGUUUGUUGGCGCUGUGCUUUAGCACUUUAAGCAACGGAAUUUAUUCGUUGGCGUUGUGCGUUAGCACUUUGAAAACUGCAUAUAUAUUUAGUGAUAUGACAUCUAAUUUGUAAUAUAUAAAGCUGAUAACUUUUUAAAAUUAUCGAAGUUGAUAGCUUCUAAUCUAUCAAACCUUUUUAACUGGUCAAGUUAUUAAGGGUGCAGGGCGGAUGCCUUGGCACUAGGAGCCGAUGAAGGACGUGAUAAGCUGCGAUAAGCUUCGGGGAGUUGCACGUAAACUUUGAUCCGAAGAUUUCCGAAUGAGGAAACUCACUUAGAGUAAUGUCUAAGUAUCAUUAAGUGAAUACAUAGCUUAAUGAGGGGAACUCAGGGAACUGAAACAUCUAAGUACCUGAAGGAAGAGAAAGAAAUUCGAUUCCGUAAGUAGCGGCGAGCGAACGCGGAUUAGCCCAAACCAAUAAAGUUUUCUUUAUUGGGGUUGCGGACAUAUCAUAACGAAGAGGUAUCGUANGUCCCGCAACGAGCGCAACCCUUGUCUUUAGUUGCCAUCAUUAAGUUGGGCACUCUAGAGAGACUGCCAGGGAUAACCUGGAGGAAGGUGGGGAUGACGUCAAAUCAUCAUGCCCCUUAUGCUUAGGGCUACACACGUGCUACAAUGGGUAGUACAGAGGGUUGCCAAGCCGUAAGGUGGAGCUAAUCCCUUAAAGCUACUCUCAGUUCGGAUUGUAGGCUGAAACUCGCCUACAUGAAGCUGGAGUUACUAGUAAUCGCAGAUCAGAAUGCUGCGGUGAAUGCGUUCCCGGGUCUUGUACACACCGCCCGUCACACCACGGGAGUUGGAGACGCCCGAAGCCGAUUAUCUAACCUUUUGGAAGAAGUCGUCGAAGGUGGAAUCAAUAACUGGGGUGAAGUCGUAACAAGGUAGCCGUAUCGGAAGGUGCGGCUG